UACGGGGGGAGCAAGCGUUGUUCGGAUUUACUGGGCGUAAAGGGCGCGUAGGCGGUAGCACAAGUCAGUUGUGAAAUCUCCGGGCUUAACUCGGAAAGGGCAACUGAUACUGUGCGACUAGAGUGCAGAAGGGGCAACUGGAAUUCUCGGUGUAGUGGUGAAAUGCGUAGAUAUCCGGAGGAACACCAGUGGCGAAGGCGACUUUCUGGCCUGUUCUUGACGCUGAGGCGCGAAAGCUAGGGGAGCAAACGGG
rnacentral:rRNA from 1 species